AUGGUAUCCGUGUACUUUUUGAUACGAAAACCCCACCGUUUGUCAGUUAAAAACGUCUCAAGGUACCCGCGCAGACAGAUACACAGACGGACAGACGAAAAAGUCCUUAAUAGGACAUCCACUUUGAAGCCUGCAAAUCCUCAACAUCUUCCAGGGCAAUUUUUUGAAAGGCCGUCCUCGCAUCCAGAGGGCUUUCAUUUUCAAUCAUGCGCCACCAAGUAUGGGGAAAAUGAGCAGCGAAUAACGCCGGAGACCAAAUAGCUCAUGGCAGAACUCUCUGCAAGUGCCACAAACUACCCCCCUUUCCACCAAGGACCAAGACCGUCACUUCCAGGAAUCGUUUCUCCGCGGCAGCCCCCGCCAUCUGGAACAACCAUCCCACUGCAAAUUCGCAGCAGCGUUCCAUCCACACAUAUUUAUAAGAGACACUACCUGAAUGUCCCGCCUCUUUUGACUGGCUUUCAAGCGACGGGGAGCUUUGGCUCCGCUUCAGAGUCACGGUGGCAGCCAAGGAAAGUGGCGGCGAAGGAAAUGAGCGCGCGCGAGUGGACAUCUGCUGAGGAGAGGAAUGAUGAAAUUCGCUCGUGCUCAGGUGCAAAAUGGAUUAAUAAGAUGGUGGCAUCCUUGGGAGGCCUUCAUCCAGCAGUGGUUUGACCAAGUCUGAAUAUGAUUAUGAUGAUGAAUAUAUACACAAUACAAACUUGUUCCAAUACCCUACAGAAUGUAUUCACUGGUCUAUAGAAGGUCACAGGUACCCAUAUUUUCAAACGUCAAAUAUCACACACACAAAACUAUGUAAAUAAAACAUGCCCAGCAAGGAUUAUUGUAGCAAACACAUACUUGUAUUUACUCUACGCCGACAUGCAUUCUGUGCUGCCAUGUAUGCUGAAGAGUUUCAGUGAAGUUGAAUCCCAACCCUGGGUGCCUUGCUGAGGAAAAUAAAAUAUUUGGAAGAAAAAUUCUGGGCAAAUUUUUCAUUGAAUAUUUUCCAGGAACCCCCAACCUUCUAAAAUCCCCCACCUCCCCUAAGCCUGCAGAAGAGUGUCGGGCAGGAUAAUUGAUUCUGGGGCUCAGCCAGCUGAAAUAAUUCCCGAGAAGUAUUAUUCUGGAAGGCCCAAAGGCCUAGAGGUAAUUUCCUUUUCGCAAUUGAACGAACCUUCGUGCAAACUUGUAUAGAUUACUAUAAUUCACUUAAACCACAGUUUUGUAUGUGCUUCUGUAAAGUAACUAAUUUUGUGUGAUAUCAGAAAAUAUACAUUUAUUAUAAAUGGUUUUUAAAGCUGUGAAAAUAAAUUAGCACUGAAGAGAUAAAUAUUUGAAAAGGUUACUCAUUAUUUCAGAAAGUAGCUGCUGAUUGUGCCUUGGCAGUUCAUAUCAUCACUACGGAUUUCAUUUGAAUUUCAAAUGUGGCAAGGAAUGAACCAGCUCACACUUUUAAUUAGCCCAAGAGGCACAGUUGGGGUAUUGUGUAGCGCUGACAUGAGACACUGCCAACAGAUAAAAAAAAUAAUUCCUUAGGAACCUUGCAAUCAUUCAAUUAACUUUAUUAGCCACACCUGAUAUGGGCUUUUUGAAAGGUGGGAGGGGGCUGAACCAAUAUUCAUAAGACAGACACCAAUCCAGAGUCAGUUUAUGACACCACUUGUGUGACAAGUGAGUAUUUAUCUGCACGUAAUAUUAACUUGCUCGUUCCUUUCACUCGCCAGACAUAUUAAGCCACCUCAAUUAAUAAGAAAAAACACCCACCGCACUAAAUGACCUUGACAAAAAAAUGUAUAAAGAACAUGACUACAGAAAAGAGCCGGGCUUGAAUAACAUGUAUAUUAAAUGGUACAUUUCCCAUCAUCAUCAUUAUCGCAUGAUAAUAUAUAUAAAAUAACAAACAUUGUCCGUAUCAAAAGAGGAGCUAGCCAAAAUGUAUUUUUUUCAUGAAAACUACAUUGAAGAAAUAAAAGAACAAGAUAAAACAUAGAAAUAGUUCACCAUCUCUUAACUAAUGGUACAGUCAUUACACUGUGUAACAAUUCGCUUUUGUUCCUGGGUAGUAAGUGUUAUUUCCUUAUUGCUUUUGCCUCAAAAGUACAGAAAUGGCUAUUAUUCCCCACAAACUUUGCUUUUGGGACCAGGACAGUGAUAUUUAGAAAUGUACCUAUUUUCCAGAACAUUCCAGAUAGAUUCAGUGCUGAGUAAACUUGGAGUAACUUCUGGAACAUUCUAAAACUUUCCAGUAAUAUAAAUAGUAGUAUAAAUGCAGGGGCCUUAAGCCCACCAGAUCAGUUUAGUUCCAGCUGCCUAAGUGGAUACAUAUCUGCAUUUUUCUGAGAUGGCAUCAAGAGGCUGCAAGCAUCUGGCAGACGCAUUUUGCUAUGUCUGCGGCCAAUUUAUCAAGACAAGAGCGAAAAAGUACUAUGUGCAAGCAUCUGCUAAAAUGUGUGAGGCCUACAAGGCAUAUUUCGGCAUGCCUGUCAGGGAUCCAGACAAACCCUGGACACCUCAUUUCACCUGCGAGCAAUGCAAAAACUCUGGAAGGUAAGAUGGACAAUUGUUGCUCGGAAUUUAAUGUUCUAAACUUUGUAAAAAAAAAACAAUCAAAUUGUUAAAGUUUUUUUUUAAUGUUUUACAAUUUUCAAUGUUAUUGAAAAAAUAUAUCAUAUAUGAAAAAUGUUGCGAGAAUCUCUUACGCAGUCAUGGAUGAAAUUAAUGUAUUUUUGGAGGAUGGUACAGAGGGGAAAAGAGAUCCAUGAAGUUCGCUAUCCCAAUAAUUUGGUGGCAACCCAUUGACCACUCAAGAAACUGCUACUUCUGCAUGGUGGACCCUUCCAAACGUCGGACUGGCAAGAAUGCACCUGCUAUCAUGCAUCCGGUACUUCCUUUAUCCAUCGCCCCGGUGCCACACUGCCAUGAGUUCCCUGUACCCACUCCUCCGGAGAGAGAGCAGCCAUCUUUAGAAGAGAGCAGCAAGUCAGAGAGAGACGAAGACGUAGAUCCAGAUGACAAUUUCAGAGGUGGAGCUGAGGAGAGAAACCCAUCCUACCCAAACCAAAAAGACCUCAACGACUUCAUCAGAGAUCUUGGUUUCACCAAGUCCAAGGCCGAGCUUUUGACGUCUCAGCUCAAGCAGUGGAACUUGUUGGAUAAAAGUGUGCAAGUCGCAGAUCAGAGGAAGUAUCACCAACCUUUUUGCAGCUUCUUCACCCGUCAAGAUAGGCUCUGCUUCUGACACAAUGUGACCAGUCUGUUCGAGGCAAUCGGAAUCGCCUGUAACCAGAAUGAGUGGCGCCUCUUCAUUGACAGCUCAUCAAGGAGCCUCAAAGCCGUGCUGCUCCAUAAUUGUAACAAGUACCCGUCUCUUCCCCUGGCUCACUUGGUGCACCUCAAAGAGCAUUACAACAGCAUCAAGACCUUGCUGGACGCCUUGAAGUAUGAUGAGUAUGGCUGGGAGGUCAUCAGAGACUUCUAAAUGGUGGUAUUACUGAUGGGUCUCCAAGGCGGUUUUACCAAGUUUCCCUGCUAUCUUUGCCUUUGGGACAGCAGGGACACCAAGGCGCACUACCACAGACGGGUCUGGCCACAGCGGACCGAGUUCUCUAUGGGGAGGAACAACGUCAAGUGGGAGCCACUGGUGGACCCCCGGAAGAUGCUGAAUCCACCACUGCACAUCAAAUUGGGCCUUAUGAAAAUUUGUCAGAGCUGUAGAUAAGGAGUCAGCAACCUUCAAGUACCUUCAAGACUUCUUCCCUAAGCUGUCUGAGGCAAAGGUCAAAGCCGGUGUCUUCAUCGGACCAAAGAUAAAGAAGAUCCUGGAGUGCAAUGAAUUCCCCAAGAAGCUCACUAGUAAGGAGAAAGCGACUUGGAACUGCUUUGUCGCAGUGGUUCGUGGCUUCCUGGGCAAUCACAAGAUCGAAAAGUAUGUGGAGCUGGUUGAGACUCUGGUGAAGAACUACGGCACAAUGGGCUGUAGGAUGCCCCUCAAAGUCCAUAUCCUUGAUGCUCAUCUUGAUUAUUUCAAGGAGAACAUGGGAGCGUACUCAGCGGAGCAAGGCGAGCACUUCCGCCAGGAUAUACUGGACUUUGAACGCCGCUGCCAAGGACAGUAUAACGAGAACAUGAUGGGAGACUACAUUUGGGGGCUGAUUCGUGAAAGUGAUUUAUAAUACAAUCGUAAAUCUCGAAAAACUACUCACUUAUAAAUCGUUUGUAGUAAUUUUGGUAUUACUUUAGUAUAAAUACAUGUUAAUUUGUAUUCAUAUGUUGUUGUUUUCUGACUUUAUGUGAACGAAAAGACACAAAUUCGCCCGUUUAAUCAUUGAAAAUAGGUACAUUUCUAAAUAUAACUGCCCUGGUAACAAAAUAAAAGUUUGUGGGGAAUAAUAGUGAUUGUCUAUACUUUUUAGGCUUAAGCAAUUAUGAAAUAACAUGUACUACCCAGGAACAACAAUUGUGUCACAUAGUGUUAUAAAAAAAACAUGGGAAAUUAAUUACCAAAAACACACAGUCUUGAAGAACUUAAUAAAUAAGGUCACAAACUGUGGCUAAAGAAAUGUUAUGAGUGUUAAGAGUAUUAAUUAUUUUGACUAUAAGCACAUUCUCAUGGCAGCACUUCUUCAGCAUUUGUGUCAGGUUGAAGAAAAUGUAUUGCCGUAUUCUCUAGGUUAGAAGUUAGGGCUAGGCGAAUGCACCCCAAGCGUUUGCCCGUUGUCAACUAACACCCUCCCCACCCAGCCCCACCAUUAAUGUUCAGCGCUUGCAAGUCGUACAACUGCCAGUAUGAGGCGAAGCAGGUGAAGGGUGUUAACAAUGGGCAGCUAAAGCAUAACAUUCGUUGGUUAUAUUCUUGGUUCUUUCGGUAAAGUCACGUACAGUAGAAGGGAAACAAUAAAAUAAUAAAAAUAUAAAACAAUAAAAUGCUCACGACGUUUCGACUGCAACACAAGCAAUCAUCAUCAGGUGUGAUAAACACAGCAAGAACAUUUUCUUGCUGUUCUCACGACGUUUUCACACCUGAUGAUUGCUUGUGUUGCAGUCGAAACGUCGUGAGAAUUCUAUUGUUUUAUACUUGUAUUAUUUUAUUGUUUCCCUUCUACGUGACUUUACCGAAAGAACCAAGAAGAUGAAUCCCUGCAGUCACGAAAGCUUUAAAUCGUUGUCAACUAGUUUGUACAAAUCUUGACCUACAUACACACACGGGGUGUGAGGCAGUGCGUCAUAUAAUCCCGAGAAUACGGUAUUUAUUGGUGUCUAUGUUAUACAAAUCGAAGUUUAAAAAUUCCGCAUCGCAUAAACCAAGCACAGUGAUGAUCUAUUUGAAACAGUAAUACGCGUGAGUAAAACUUACAUUACAAAAAAACACAUAAAAAAUAUGACAUUGUACGUGUUAAAUAAGUUUAUGUAUGCAAAAGAGAUCAAACCAAGAAGUUUUAUGUUGAUGUUUCGCAUUCCAGCCCUUGUCUGCCCUCUAGUGGGGUAAUUUGGACACUCCAGACUCCCUUAUUUGCACGCGUAAUUCAGAAAUGAAGCAGAGGUCCCAGACAAAAUAUUAAAUCUUCAGAUUGAAUAUUUGUUGAUAGUUUACCUGCAAUGCCGAAUAUUGAUAGUACUGUAUAUACCUGCCAUGCCUUACCGUGACAGCCAAGACACAAAAUGAAUAAUUCUUACACACUAUAACAAUAUCACUAAACCACCCAAUGCGAAACGCAAUUAUGAUGACGAUGGUGAUUAUAACGUGAUUUUGAUAAUGUAUUGAUUUUGAUACAGUAUAUGAUGAGGUUCGAUAAAAGCAGAUACAAUGCUCAACGAUUACACUAAAUAAUUAUGUUAAUUGGGAAUCUGGGUGCAUCCCAUAAUAAGUGACUGUGCCAUAUUAUUACUAUUACAAUAGUUCACCCAGGAAAUCCUCCCUGAGUCUCAAUAUGUUUUUUUCAGGAUGUUCCUGCCAAGUUUUCACAAUUGGUGGGACGACAGUGCUGUUUAAUCCCAAAUGAGUAAUUUGCAGGUCAUUUUUGAACAUUGUGGGAAUUUUUAGACUUAAAUCUUUCGUGACUGCGGGAAUUCAUAUUCCUGGUUCGUUCCGUAAAGUCACGUAAAUAUCUGCGUGACUUUACUGAAAAAAACAAGAAUAUUGGGGGCAUUUGGUCAAAACCAAUUAUAUUGUAUGGUGGGGGGGUUAUUAGCUCUGGGAGGAAACCGAAAACCCCAGCAGAACCCCGUGCAGAACAGGGGGAGAGAACAUACAA